GGAGAAGAGAGAAAAUGAUAGAGAAAAUAGUACGCCCAUAAGCGUGCAGAUGUCGCAUGCUGGGCGUUUCUACUGAUAUCAUCCUCUGUCAAUCGCGGCUCUGUUUCUAUUAUGCCACUUGCACUUGAGAAUCCUUACGUAUGUUCGUCGGAAUGCCGCAUUGCACAAGGCGUAACACAUUGGAUUCACAGUACUAUUGAUAUAACAAAGAUAAUAGAAAAAGUCCCAGAGCUCUUGCGGGAUGUACCACGAGCAGGCUGUGAUGGAUUUAAUUAGAACGAGAAUAUUGUACGGUGUCCAGGGAAUCCUUAUGUCCGGCAUGUGAGAUGGUCUCCUAGUGAUCAUCGAAGGACUCACUGUUUCGUCGUGAUACAUUUUUAUACUUGGACCUUCCGAAUAUUUUCCCAUACCACUGGUGUCUCUUGUUGGAAGUCGAAUUAGAAUCGUGUAAACCUAGUUAACGUGGUAGGAUGAAUUCCACUUAAAGAGGCAGAUCGAGAGACCGUACCAGUAAGAGGGGUUUCCGCUGACAAUGGCGUUAUGGCUUCGUCAUAACCGUGUGUAGCACGACUGCUCUCAGCUCCCUCGAUAUCCUCCUCUUCGUCAUCGUCUUCGCGACCACUGUGCCACCACGCGAUACACCACAUCUUUAACCACAUCCACGAAAAUGAUAAGAGACUGCGAUAUGUGUCGCGUUCACGUCUUCGACUCCUGUGCUCGAUUCGCUUCUAGGCCUCCUGCAGUCCUCCAUGUCUAACGCUUCAUCGCUAAUUAAUAAGGAAAGAAAUUAAUUAAUUGUACAUGUGUACAAAUAUAAAUUUUAAAACAAGAAUUAAAAAGAAGUAGAUAUUAUUCAUUGUUGGAUUUCUUCUUUAGAUCUAAAAAUUUAUUUGAUUUAUGCAUUUGAAAUAACAAGUAAUAAUGAAUAACUUUAAUGCAUAUUAAUAUCAUAAUAUGAUUCUGAUAGCAUGAAUUGAUAAAAACUAUUGAAAACUAUUUCGUCAUCCUUGCAAGUACGGAAGAUCUUUUUGCCGCUUCUUGGUUUCCUUCCAUAUGCGCCAAUAAAGAAUGAUCAUCACAGUGACAGGCACAUAAAAUGCAGCAAUUGCGGUACCGAAUGUGAUGUAAUGAUUUGUCUCGAUGAAUUGUAUAUAACAUGCAUUGAUGGGUACCGUUCGUUGGCCCUCGAUGUAUGGCCAAGCAUAGAUCCAAGGUGGCCAUAAAAGCAAUGAAAUUCCCCAGGCGCAUGCUGAAACGUAUUAUUUGUUUAUUUCUUCUUUGUUCAAUAUUCAUGCUAUUGUUCUAAAGUAUUAUUUAAAUGAGAAGGAA